rnacentral:lncRNA from 1 species
AAUAUUAAAAAUUAAAUACCUAUGAGGCUUACGCCCCGUGCCUCGGGGCUUAUGCCUCGCUGAGGCAUAUGUAAAACGCCUCGCCUUACGUCCACGCCUUUUAAAACACUGGUUUGGAAUCAUGAAAUAUAAACAAAUUCGAGUAAAAAAUACUUACCCAAUCCAAGUAGUGAAAAUCCCCUCCAAAAUUUCCCAAAAUCGAGCUCCAAAACCUCGUGAGAAAAAAUAACUAAAUGCCGAAAUAAGUAAAAACGCAACAGCUGUCCCAGCCCGAAUCAGAUCCUAGAUGAUCCCGAAACUCAUGUUUGAUAAGCCCAACAUGAUCUUUGCGAGAUUACACCCAAGAUAGCCUUUUGAAUCACCCAAUUUGGCCUUAAAAUGAGGGAUAUAUGAUAUUUUGGAGUUUUAAAGAAAGUCUAAAAAUUUCAGGGACAUAAAUUGCAUUUUCGUAAUUAUUUACACCAGAAAAAAAAACCCAGCAAUAAGAAAAUCUUCGUUUUAGCACCCAAAACUAAUUGGUAACCUCCCGGACACAAACAAAUACAAAGAGAACUCUAUCUCCUCCAUAGCAACAAGUUCAAAAUUCAAAUUGCAGGUUAGUCAUCCUUUUUGUUCCUCCAUGUAGAAAACUUUAUUCUUUUCGACUCAAGUUACUUGUACUUUUGAGUAUCGUAUAAUUGAUUGGUUUGUUUGAUUUUUUUUUUUUGGGAUAGAGCACAUCUAUAUAUAUAUAUAUAUUUUUCACAUAUUUAUAGUUUUCUUCAAUUUUUGUGCAAUUUUACCUGUUUAUAAAUAUUUACUGUAAUUAUAUUAUUUUAUAAAAUAUUAAAAAUUAAAUACCUAUGGGGCUUACGCCCCGUGCCUCGGGGCUUAUGCCUCGCUGAGGCAUAUGUAAAACGCCUCGCCUUACGUCCACGCCUUUUAAAACACGGCUGGAAUCAUGAAAUAUAAACAAAUUCGAGUAAAAAAUACUUACCCAAUCCAAGUAGUGAAAAUCCCCUCCAAAAUUGCUCAAAAUCGAGCUUCAAAACCUUGUGAGAAAAAAUAACUAAAUGCCGAAAUAAGUAAAAACGCAACAGUUGUCCCAGCCCGAAUCAGAUCCUAGAUGAUCCCGAAACUCAUGUUUGAUAAGCCCAACAUGAUCUUUGCGAGAUUACACCCAAGAUAGCCUUUUAAAUCACCCAAUUUGGCCUUAAAAUGAGGGAUAUAUGAUAUUUUGGAGUUUUAAAGGAAGUCUGAACAUAAAUUGCAUUUUCGUAAUUAUUUACACCAGAAAAAAAAAAACCAACAAUAAGAAAAUCUUCGUUUUAGCACCCAAAACUCAUUGGUAACCUCCCGGACACAAACCAUAUAUGCAUUUCAAUCAUAAAACACGCUACGAACCUGCUCGCGCAUUCAAAACACCGAAAAUGAUCAUCUUGACCCGAUAUUGACCAUGGUCAAACUACAAAUCAUUAACUUAACUAGUUUCUCAACCAAUGAUCCAAAACACACCCGAGCCCUUCGGGACCCCAUCCAAUCAUACCAACAAGUACAAAUACAUUAUCCAAACUUAUCUAAAGCCUCAAAACACCCACGGGAACAUCACAACAAAGAAUCGAGGCUCAAACCGAAUAGAAUUUCUCUUAAGUUGUUAAAUCUUCAUUCUUUCAAAAGAGUGUCCGAAUCACACUUAAACACUUCAGAUUACUUCCAAACUUUGCACACAAGUUCAAUUCAACUAUAUAGACCUAUCCAAAGUCUCGGAACACCAAUUGGAGUCCAAUAACAUCAAAGUCAACUCUUGGUUAAACUUAUGAACCCUUAAGUUCUUCAAAUUGCCAACUUUCGACAAGUAGUGUCGAAUUCUUCUAGGAACCCCCAAAACCAAAUCCGAACAUACGUAUAAGUCCAAAAUCAUCAUACGACCCUAUCGGAACAAUCAAAACCCGAUUCCGAGUCAGUUUACCCAAAAGUCAAACCUUGGUCAACUCUUCCAACUUAAAGCUUCCAAAUCAAGAGUCAUUCUUCCAAAUCAAUCCCGAACCACUCGAAAACCAAAACCGACCAUACACUCAAGGUAUAAUACACUAUAUGAAGCUACUCAAAGUCUCAAACCACCGAAUGGAACGCUAAAGCUCAAAACGACCGGUCGGGUCGUUACAUUUUCAUUUACAAAUUUUGCUAUCAGUAUUUCUGUAGUCUUUUUCACAUUUUUGGAUUUCAAAUGAAUAAUAUUUAUCUGAGGUUCCCUCCCCUAUAUUUGUAGACUUGUCUUGUCUUCAGUUUGAUAUUAAUGACGAAAUCUGAUUCUAUGUUUAAACAUAUCGAUUGCAUUUUCCCUGCUCUGGCACUUUUUUCCAUUGUCCUACAACUCAUCUUUUUUGAAUUUCUUCAGUAUAAUGCUGCCUCUAUUAAUGCUUUUCUUCUUUGGAAAAGCUUCACUUAAGGGGGCAUUACUGCAUCAAAUUUGUUUCCAGAAGAUAAUAGCUUUUAAUUAAUAUUCCUUCAAAUAUCUUCUCACCCAUUUAUUAUACUCCCCGAUUUAGAAACUCCAUAUGUUAAAGUAAUCUGAAUGGUCCUCCACCUCGCACUUGGACUCCAAUUCCAUAUUUGUCUAUAGUUGUAUAAUGACCCUCCUUUACAAAAAUUGAUCCUCCCAUCUAAACCUUUAAAUUCAUUUCCCUAGGAAGGCUAUGUUGAGUCCCUCAAAUCUCUAUCCCUACC